AGGCAUCUGAUGUAGACUCUGUUGAAAUUGGCAGGCAACAAUGAGGGACUGAGUUACUCUUGUGAGUAUGUUGCCAUGGAUACCUGCAGAGUGAAGAAAUUCCUACUGAAGUGAAAUCUCAACACUUUGUUUAUACAGUGUUUUAACUGCCACAAGCCAUGUUCCUAUCUAAUGAAAUAGGACUCUAACUAUUAAAUGGCUAGUAAGCAAUAGCAAUAUCAUGCGGCGUCUGAGGAAGGCCCGAAGAUUGUUGAGGACUCCGUCACCCAUGGACUGUUCACUCUGCUACUAUCUGGCAAAUGGUAUCGGAUCAUCAGGUCUCGGAACAAUAGGCUCCAAGACAGCUUCUACAACCAGGCCAUCAGACUGCUAAACAGGAUGGGAGUCCCAGGACCCACGAGGAUGACAUCAUGGAUAUCCCCCUGGAUGACCCCGAGGCCAACAAGGCUGCUGCCAAGAUCCAGGCCAGCUUCCGUGGUCACAUGACUCGCAAGAGAAUGAAGGAAGACAAACCCAGAGAGGAGAAGCGACGGGAGCAGAAGUAGAGGAGAGAGAGAUGAAGCGUCAGAGCUUGAACUGUUAGGUCGUGGGUCCUGGCAGAAAGAUGCAUGCCACUCCAAUAUCAAGAGCUCUUUUCAUGAAGAGAAAAAAUGUCACCAUACCGUAUAACACAAAUAGAACUAGAUCUAGGUUUGGAAGACCCCCACAGACUCUCUUUCUCUAACAUACACACACACACACUCUUACUCUCUUAUUCACAAAAACACUAUUUUUCCUCCCCAAGUAUCGGGUCGAUAAAUGUCUAUGACCCAAAAUAACAUUUUACAGCAUGAUUUUGUUUGUUGUAAACAAAACAAGUGCACUCAAGUGGAAAGUGUGUUUUGAUGGAUUUGAAGAGCAAGUGUAAUAGCAAGUUAGGUGUGGGCAGAUGAUUUGGGGGAAUGUACGUUUGUACUCACUGAACUGGCUAUAUAAUCGUAUACAUUUUACAAUAAAGAAGUAUGACUUUUCUGAUCUGACAGUUAAACUUUUUUAAUGUGUGUGUUUUGUGCAACUCUAAAGAGAAAUUCAUUGAAAUAGAAUCGUUAGGACUGCUCAGUACAUAACAUUCAAUUACGUUAAUGUUUUGUUAUUUAGGGGACUUUCUUUGGUUGUCAUGGUUGUCCCUGUGUGUGUGUGUGUGUGUAUAUAUCUAUCUAUAUAUAUAUAUAUAACAGUAAAGUAUCUACAUGGUUCAAUAAAAAUGUCUUAAGUGUAGAAGUCUGUAUGGUGUUUGGCAGGUUUGAUUGUGGUGAAAAACAAAUAAAUGUUGGAAUAGCGAUUGAACUAAUAA